rnacentral:rRNA from 2 species
GACAGAGGGUGCAAACGUUGUUCGGAAUUACUGGGCGUAAAGCGCGUGUAGGUGGCCAGGCAAGUCGGGUGUGAAAGCCCCGGGCUCAACCCGGGAAGUGCACUCGAAACUGCUUGGCUCGAGUGCCGGAGAGGGAAGCGGAAUUCUCGGUGUAGAGGUGAAAUUCGUAGAUAUCGAGAGGAACACCAGUGGCGAAGGCGGCUUCCUGGACGGCUACUGACGCUGAGACGCGAAAGCGUGGGGAGCAAACAGG